rnacentral:rRNA from 1 species
GUAAGCGUGCGCAGCGGUUAUAUAAGACAGAUGUGAAAUCCCCGGGCUCAACCUGGGAACUGCAUUUGUGACUGUAUAGCUGGAGUGCGGCAGAGGGGGAUGGAAUUCCGCGUGUAGCAGUGAAAUGCGUAGAUAUGCGGAGGAACACCGAUGGCGAAGGCAAUCCCCUGGGCCUGCACUGACGCUCAUGCACGAAAGCGUGGGGAGCAAACAGGAUUAGAUACCCGUGU